UGCAGCUUGUUGUAAAUCAGUAAAGUUAAAUGUCGUUUUGUGUGAAAACAUCUCUCGUCUCUACACAAUAUACGUCACGCACAUGUUAACGCGGGUAAUGCUAGCUAACGUACAUUGCUUGGUUGCUGCCAAUUAGAUAACUUUAUGAAAACUUUUCUCUUUUUAAAUUGGUUUUCAGAUUUGGUGGUGCCAUUGGUGCACUAUUGCCAUUUUAAAUGCAAGCCAGAUCACACACACAGACACACACACACACACACACACACACACACAGUGGGCAUCUCCACAAGGUAUGGUAUCAUAAAUUGUUAUUGAAAGGUUGGUGACAUCAGCAUAUCAGCACAUGGCUGCCCCUCCUGCUGGAAUAUAAAGAGAUGAUGAAACAAGUGAUGAAGUGAAACUUACAGAGACAGAGAAGCCAGACGCUCAGAAGUGCAUCCACUUCAUAGAGCAGGUGAGAACUCGCUCAGAGAUAACACAUUCCUCUGUCUUUUAGUCUCACUACAGUAAUUGAUUGUGUCAUUGGGUUGUCCUUUCACACCCAGAGGGAGAGAAGGAUCUCCUGUGAUUCAGUCAUCAUUCCUGCACCUGUUCAGCUCCUGGGGGUUUUACUGGGAGAUAGUGAAGUAUCCAGUGAACUGUUCUGCAGCUCACCUGUAAAACAAGAAAUCUUCCAAACGGUCGAGCUGCGAUGAGGGUGUGUGCAGUGCUCUGUGCUGUCUUUCUGUUGCUGAGCCAAGCUCUAAGUGGAUCUCAUCGAGACGGUUCCAUGAUAA